UUAGCGGCGAACGGGUGAGGAACACGUGAAGAAUCUGCCCUCCACUUUGGGAUAACACCGGGAAACCGGUGCUAAUACCGAAUAUUGAAACAUAAGUGGCAUCACUGAGUUUUGAAAGAAUUUCGGUGGAGGAUGACUUCGCGGCCUAUCAGCUAGUUGGUGAGGUAAUGGCUCACCAAGGCAACGACGGGUAGCCGGCCUGAGAGGGCGACCGGCCACACUGGGACUGAGACACGGCCCAGACUCCUACGGGAGGCAGCAGUGGGGAAUAUUGGGCAAUGGAGGAAACUCUGACCCAGCGACGCCGCGUGCGGGAUGAAGGCCUUCGGGUUGUAAACCGCUUUCAGUAGGGAAGAAGCGAAAGUGACGGUACCUACAAAAGAAGCACCGGCUAACUAUGUGCCAGCAGCCGCGGUAAUACAUAGGGUGCAAGCGUUGUCCGGAAUUUAUUGGGCGUAAA
rnacentral:rRNA from 1 species